rfam:Cephalotus follicularis DNA, scaffold: scaffold4312, isolate: St1.
ACGGCAUGAUGGGGACAUUUUUUGAUGAGGUCCUUUAAUCUUUCCCAUGACUCAUGGAACUGCUCACCAUCUUGCUAUGAGAAGCUACUGAGAGAUCUCCUUAUCUGGUUGG